rnacentral:tRNA from 1 species
GACCCCGUGGUGCAGCGGUCCAGCACGCUGGCCUUUCAAGCCGGAGAUCGCGGGUUCAAAUCCCGUCGGGGUCGCCA